rnacentral:rRNA from 1 species
UACAUAGGGUGCGAGCGUUAAUCGGAAUUCCUGGGCGUAAAGCGUGCGCAGGCGGUUUUGUAAGCCCGAUGUGAAAUCCCCGGGCUCAACCUGGGAAUGGCAUUUGGGACUGCAAGGCUUGAGUGCGGCAGAGGAGACUGGAAUUCCUGGUGUAGCAGUGAAAUGCGUAGAUAUCAGGAGGAAUACCGAUGGCGAAGGCAGGUCUCUGGGCUGACACUGACGCUCAUGCACGAAAGCGUGGGGAGCAAACAGG